AUCCAAUAUUUAGCCAUGAGCCU
rnacentral:siRNA from 1 species